rnacentral:lncRNA from 1 species
AUGACCCAGGGCCCCGCCGGGCGCUCCUCGCCCCAGACAACCUGGGCAAGGCCCGGCCUGGGGCGCAGGGAGCGGCGGCAGGGAGUCCGGCGGGCGGGACAGGGGCGGGCCGCGCGUGUCCUUCGUCCACGCACCCGCCGCCCAUCUUCCGUCCACGCGCCCGCCCUCUGGCCACGCGCCCCCCACGUGUCGCUCGUCCUCGUCCUCGCGCCCGCCGCCCGUGCUCGUCCACGCGCCCAUCAUUCUUCCACGCGCCUGUCCUCUGUCCCCGCGCCCCCGCGUGUCCUUUGUCCCCGCGCUCGCCACGCGUCCUUCGUCCACGCGCCCAUCGUUCCUCUACGUGCCAGUCCUCCGUCCUCGCGCGCGCCCCGGGUCCUUGGUCCAGGCACGCGCGCGGGGAGCCGCGCCUCCCGCGUCCCAGAGACCCACGCGCCCUCCGGUGGCUCAGACAGGUACUGCGUCGGGUGCGUGGACGAAGGACACGCGCGGCCCGCCCCUGUCCCGCCCGCCGGACUCCCUGCCGCCGCUCCCUGCGCCCCAGGCCGGGCCUUGCCCAGGUUGUCUGGGGCGAGGAGCGCCCGGCGGGGCCCUGGGUCAUCCUGGUGGGGAGCGCGCCCGCACCCGCACCCGCACCCGCACCCGCACCCGCACCCGCCCCGGCGCCCCGGCAGCUGCCUGGUAACCGGAUUUUGGACGUUCCCGAGACGCGUGGCCCUCGCUUUUCCCCGAGUGCGUGCCCGCUUUGCACGCAGCCUUCUUAUCCCGGGGCCGAGUGAGCGCGGGCUCGCUCAGGCGGCUUUGGGGAGAAGCCGCGGUGCAUGCAGUGAGGCUGCCCUGCGGGAGAGCGCAUGGAGGGACGGCCGGACCAUCUGGGCCCUCCCUGGUGGUCGUGCUGGAGGGUUGGGCCCGUGUGGGGAGGGCUGCCAGCUCUGAGGCCCAGCACGGUCAGGGCACGUAUGUCCACAGCCCAAGCGGCCCGCUUCCUGGAUGCCUCGGAGCCGCGAGGAAGGCUCGGGGCUGAGGGCGGGCGACCGCGCACGCUCUCAAGGAAUGGGUGCUCGCGAGCAAUCCCCCUGCAGGAGCGCUUCCUCUGGGCCAGGCCGGCCUGCUGCCCGUGGCUUCCGUGCAGCUGCAUGCGCCGCCGCGGGAAACCUGGGGAAACUGAAGGUUCAAGGAGAGACCCUGGGCGUCCUUGCAGAUACCUUCCCCGAGGUGGGGGGAGGGGGGCAGAGGCGCGGCGGCGGGCGGGGCCUGAGCGGCUCAGUUGCUUGAGCUUGGGAUCCUGGGGGUCAGCUCAGGCCCUCAACUCAGGGUCCUGAGGUCAGGAUCUCCCGCGCUUGUCAGUCUCUCCCUCCCUCUCCCUCUGCCACCCGCCCUCCCUCAAGGGAAGAAAUCAUUCCUUGUGCAAAAGAAACUUGCCCAGGGAUGGGGUGGGAACAGCGCUGUCUUCCAAGACUGGGCAGGAAGAGUCCUGAGUCGUUUUCUGUUUCAUGGCCUCCAGGGACGAGGCCGGGGACCCCAGGGCUGUGAGCAAAGAGAGGGAGAGCAUGUGGGGGGCGCGGGUGGGGGCCGGUACAGGUCUGGAGACCUGUGCUGACGUGCACGUGACCACCCCUGUGUCCACCAGCCUGGCCCCAGACGUUGCACUAAGAACCUUUGGAUGUUGCUACACGUGAGCAUUGCAAGGGCUAUCCACUCUAGCCCGGUCGCCAUAACCCUCUGGCAUAUUCUGUGUGACCUGGGACGCGUCAUUCAGUGCUCCUGAGCCACAAGCCUCAGGCCCCUCCUCUGGACUCCGGGCAUGAGCUUUGGGUGAGGGCUGGGGGACCCGGCCUAUGCAUACGCUGCCCCCACUUGUGCGUCGGCCCGCCUAUAUACAGAAACAGAAGACGGCCAACAGUAGAGUGGCAGUGGGGUUACAAGCCACCAGAUGGAUAGGGCUUCGCUUAAGGGGUGGGGUCCUUAGCCUUAGGCCUGUGGAGUUUCAAAGCCGAGCUGUCCCAUAGGACUUCCUGAAAUUCUGUCUCUAGAGCACUUGAAAUGUGGCCAGUGGGAAUGAGAAACUGAAUCUUUCAGAUUAAUUCAACUGAAACUGCCACACGGGACGUGCACUAUCGUAUGGGGCAGCACAGUCAUAGAGGGCCCUUGGAUGUUCAUGGACAUUUUGUAAACCUUUGACAUGGGAUGUGUGUGUGUGUGUGUGUGUGUGUGUGUGCGCGCGCGCUGUGUAUUUCUGGGAAGUGAGUCCGUGGCUUUCAUCAGCUUCUGCUAACUACGGAAGAGGUCAGGACCUGCAGCUUUAUGGCUUUGGGAGAAAGGAAGCAAGGUGAGGGAGGUGAGUGUGGCCUCUGGUAACCACUGCGGUUGCCCCUUUCUGCGUUUGUCUGUGGCUGGCUUCUCGGGAUGAGCUCCUACGUCGUUGACUUCUUCCCAGCAGGCUAGGACCGCUAGCCCAAAGCGCGCUGGUGUGAAGCUCAGACUCUGAUGCAUCCUGCGGUUUUAUAUUUUUUAAGAUCUUCUUUAUUUGGCAGAGAGAGACAGAGCGCAGAAGCAGAGGGAGCAACAGAGGGAGAGUGAGAAGCAGGCUCCCACUGAGCAGGGGACCUGAUGCGGGGCUCUGUCCCACGACUCGGGGUUCACGGCCUGAGCCAAAGGAGAUGCUCAACCGCUGAGCCACCCAGGCGCCCCUCUCUCUGUGUCUCUCAUGAAUCAAUCAAUGCAAUCCUUUUUAGGAAAGGAAUAGAGUGUGACCCUUGAACUCGGGGGUGUGAGCAUGAGCCCCUCGUUCAGUGCAGAGAGGACUCAGAGGACAAAUAAGCUUUUUACAAAGGGAGCACCUUUUAAGUGCGCAGCGCCCAUUCUAGCCCUCCCACCACAGUCCAGCCACUAGCUUUCUGUCAUAUCUUAUGGACAUUUUAAAAACUUUCUUUGAAAUAGUUCAUCGCAUGGAUGUCUCGCACUUUAUGAAAACAACCGGCUCUUUUGGAUAGAGCCCUUGGUUCCACAUCUCCAAACCUCUAAGUCACGCUUGAUGGAAACGCCUGGGCACGCAGACCCACUUGCUGUAUGUUUUAGACCCGUGACAACGGAUGAGCUGGAACACUGGGCCGGGUCCCCUGAAAGGGGAGUCACUGGAGAACGGUCUAAAGAUAUGAACGGAGAAGAGACAGCUCAGAGAAUUCGGAAGAGCAAGUGCCCUGAGGUUUUAGGAGUCAAUACCUUAGAGCAGACGCCAUAUCUGAGGUGGAGUCUCAGUGUGAAUGAGGGCGAGGGGGUCCCCGGUUGCUACUCCUUCUGCCCUAGGACAGGAACAGCUUCCUCGCAGCUCUGCAGAAGCAGCUUCUGCACGCGGCUGUGGAUGUCCUGGGCCAGGAGGGCCAGGAGCUGCACGGACACCAAGGGACCUAGGACCCGUUCCAGGGUGCGCAUCUCGGGCCGAAGCCACCGACCGCUGGCAAAGCUCCAGGAGCCGCCUGACGGUUUCCUGGGGCCCAGCGGCACGAUCCACAGGGGCAGGUAGGAGGCCACCAGGCUGCGCCCUCCAGCUGGGCUGGGCUGGGCUGGGCUGGGCUGGGGGCAGCUCCUGGCGGCAGGUGCAGUAACUCCCGGGCUGUCACAGUCAGGAGGCCUUUGGCUCCUGGGAGCACGGGCCAGACGCCAGGGUCAGGUUCCGAGCCCUCGUGACCCCGAAAGCAGGCGCGACCGCCGCCGACCAAGGAGCCCGCGCCCGGGGCGGGCUGGCGGGCGCCAGACCUUGAAAAGCAGGUGCACGACCGCCGUGCCCCGGGCUCCCACUCACAGCCCGGAGGGGCCGCGGCCUGUGUGGCUUCGGGGAGUGGGGCUCCCGCCCCCUCGACCCGAUUCUGCGUGGCCUUGGGAGGCCCCAUCGCGGGCGGCUGUCUCCUCUCUGUCCGGGACCCACGCACCACUAGGCCCUGCUCCCACCAGGGAAGUGGCAGCAGCCCUAAAGUCUGGCGUCCGAACACCAAGGGCUCCAGCUGAGCUGCGGACCAACGUGUGCACCACUUGGCCUCAGUGACAGCCUCUGCCUGGCGCCGGCUCAGCCAGGAGGGAAAAAAUGGGACCCCAGCCGCGGGGCGGGGACUGGCCCAGCCCCGCCCCGCCGCCCCGCCCCGCCCGCCAGGGACCAAUUGGAAGACAAGAGGCGGGGCGGCGAGGCCAACCCCAGCCCCCACGAGCCCUCUGCUGGCGGCCCAGGGCGGAGAGGAGAGCACCGGGCUAGCCAGGUGGAAGCUCAGGUGUCCAAGGGAAGAAAGUAGGAAGGUAGCUCAAGGCCACUGGGACCCGCCAGACCAAGGUCAGAGGCAUCAGCCCAGGAGAGCUUCUGAAAGUGCCAACUGUCCAG